rnacentral:rRNA from 1 species
UACGUAGGUGGCGAGCGUUGUCCGGAUUUACUGGGCGUAAGGGGAGCGUAGGCGGACUUUUAAGUGAGAUGUGAAAUACCCGGGCUCAACUUGGGUGCUGCAUUUCAAACUGGAAGUCUAGAGUGCGGGAGAGGAGAAUGGAAUUCCUAGUGUAGCGGUGAAAUGCGUAGAGAUUAGGAAGAACACCAGUGGCGAAGGCGAUUCUCUGGACUGUAACUGACGCUGAGGCUCGAAAGCGUGGGGAGCAAACAGGAUUAGAUACCCUGGUA